rnacentral:misc_RNA from 1 species
CCAUGUUAUUUUAUAUUAUUUAUAACGAAUCUUAUAGGGAAUAUAAUAUUUGAUAGAUUUAAAUAACAUAAAAUAAAUGUAUAAAUGUAACAUUUGGCGAGAACUUCAGCUUUUAUUCGACUUUUAUAAUAGACCCCAUAUUACCUCUCUCUUCUACUCGCGCCCUUCCCAUUUGUUCACCUUGUAUUGUAUUUAGUCCAAAAUGUCGAAUUUAGAGGUGUUUGACGUGUAAAUUGUAACAUAUUUUUUCUACAAAACUAUGAACUAAGUAGUCUAAAUAGUUUUAUUCCAAAUAUUUGUGACAAGUGUAAGAUAAGUCACUAGGUUAGAUAAUUAAAGGCAGCAUAAGGACAAGAUAAAAGUGACCCGAUGAGGUUCAGAUGUGAAACAAGUAGUUUACCUUCCAUGUAGCAUUUCUUUCGUUUAUAGACAACCCACCCUCCUUUUGCUACAUCCAGGGUGCGAUGGGAUUACUGAUAUCUAAAAUAUGGAGCCUCUUCGGGAACGAAGAACACAAGUUGGUGCUAGUGGGGUUGGAUAAUGCAGGCAAGACCACUAUCCUGUACCAGCUGCUUCUCGGCGAGGCGGUCCACACGCGGCCCACGAUCGGCUCUAAUGUGGAAGAGGUUGUGUGGAGAAACUUGCGUUUUGUCAUGUGGGACCUCGGCGGGCAACAGAGCUUGCGCUCUGCUUGGAAUACAUAUUACACUAAUAGCGAGUUCGUGAUAAUGGUGAUCGACUCGACGGACCGGCAGCGCCUGGGCAUCAGUCGCGAGGAGCUGCACCGCAUGCUGGCGCACGAGGAGCUCGGCCGCGCGUGCCUACUCGUCUACGCCAACAAACAGGACGUGAAAGGCUCAAUGAGCGCUGCUGAAAUAUCGGAGCAACUGGACCUGACGUCUAUCAAGCAACACCCGUGGCACAUACAGGCGUGCUGCGCGCUCACCGGAGAAGGGCUACAUUUAGGGCUCGAGUGGAUCGCGAGUCGGAUAAAAAAGAAAUGAUAGUCCACCGGUGCGUUAUAUACUUAUAUUGUUAACUUUUAAAUUACGUUUAAAACCAGUAGCCUUAUCACUAGCUUGACACUGAGAUGUUCUGUAACUUCUGUAGCUUGUACUUUUAUGCAUCUCCCUGUAGGGAAAUGUGGGCACAGAACGUGCGCAGAUUUUAUCCAAUAUGCCAGUGUCAAGCUCGUGACAAGACUACAAAUGACAGGAUUCCUCACGUAACUGGCAUGCAAAUCCUAACUAAUAAGUAGAUAUAAUGGAAAUCAACUUUUAAAGUGAAUUUCUAUGACGUUAUAAUUAGCUAAUAUGUUAAGUUUAUAUUGAAAAGCUGCCUGUUAUUUCAACCAGCGUCACUGGGUAUAUUAUAAUUAUAACACAUUUUAAAACUUACAUUUAAUUAUGAUUUGUUUGUAUUAAUCAUCAAAGUUGAAUAAUCCUGUUUAUAUUUCACUUCUAAACCUAGAUCAAUAGUUCUACUCCGAUGUUCUGUGUAAGGCAAAUGAAGGGUACAUGGAAAUAAAUCAGUCGAAUAUUUUUUUUAUGAGAUUUUAAUCUCAAAAUGUAGAGGUUUCAAUGAACUUCAUUAUGUUAUUAGACUUAUUAGUUACAACUUCGAUUGCCAUUGUGUUUGUAAAUAUAAGUUUUUUUUUCUCACUUUAAAACCUAAAUACGGAACCCUAAAACAUUACUGACAAACCGCGAUAACUGAAAAUGUUAUCAAAGUGACUAGACAUUCUUUCCGUGUGUUCCCUUCAUAUCAGGGAUGUUGCGGAGGCAGAUUUUUUGACAUCCGCGGAUGCGGAUGCAGAUGCGGAUUUUUCAAGUCCCACAUCUGCAGAUGCGGAUGCGGAUGCGGAUGCGAAUGUGAGGAUAGGCACUUACUCAGGCAUAUUAAAAACACAAAAUUUGAUCAAAGAAGUUAUAUUUAUUCAAAAAGAUAACGUUUCAUAUUUAAAAAUCUUAGAAAUUAAGAUAAAGGUGGGCCAACGAUACUAAAAAUCAUAGAAUUCUAUGAAAUAAGGGUGGAUUCCUGUUGAUGUUUGCAACUUUGCAAUAGGCGCAACCCGCGAUCCACGAAUCACAGACGUGUAACGAGACUCGUAUUGGCCAAUGGUGAAUUUACCGUGCACGUGGGCCGCGUCUAAGUCGUUCCUGUACCGACCUGUUCAACAUCCGCAUCAUGCGAAUGCUCCGUAUUGAUUUUUGCGGAGGCGGAUGCGGAUUUUGAAAAUGAUGCGGAAGUUCCGCGCGUGCGGAUGCGGAUGCGAAUAUCCGCAACAUCCCUGCUUCAUAUAUUGUGACAGUUAUGCAAUAACGAUUUCGAUGAUGAUAAGGUACAGUCACGAGCUUUAAUUUGUGACCCAUUUUCGGUAAACGUUAGAACAUUCAUAAUGCAGUAAGGUCGAAACUUUAGUGUAUCAUAAAAAGUCAUAUCUAAUCGACUCUUGAAAUGACAACCUCUUUGCAAAAAGCUAUCAUUACGGUUUUCGACAUAUUUCCUGUCAGUGUCAGUCAAGAAAAUAGUUUAAUGUGAAGGACGAACGUAAACGUCGAUAGUAAACAUUAUGGAAUUGACAGCGUUAAAAUAUUAGCUCUAAAUAGCGAAAGUUUGCUACACGAUAUUCAACCUUGGGUGGGUCCCAAAUUAAAGCUCGUGACUGUACCUCUUUGUAUGAAAAACCACAGAUACACAGUUAAAAUAUUCGAGAAUAUAUUAUGUGUGCACUAAGGGUAAUUUUUUAUGUUACGAAACUAUUAUAUGUAUAAUCACCAUUUUCCUCAAUUCACCAAUGCCAUGAAAACAUUUGAUUAGUCAAUUUUAAAUCGUCAGUAAAUUAAAAAAAUAUUAACUAAUAAUAUUACGUAACUGACUAUCUGACAAACAGGGAAUCAGGGAAAAUUACCGGUAGUGCACUAAACUCAUGAAAACAGUACAAGAACUCCUGCGACAAUAACGAAGCUGAGAGUUGCCGUGGUCGACAACAGUCAAUUAUUCUUAAUAUCGGAAUGUAUAAAUACCAAAUAAAAUUUAAUUUGGGA